AAAACCUCUCCAAAAACAAACAAACAAACAAACAAACAAACAAACAAAACCUCACUUGUUGCUUAUAUUAUGUUUUCACUAGACAGUGCUGAGUGAGGGUGUUUCAGCUUAGGUUAUAACUUGGCUACACCAGGGUGACCUUCCACAUGUCACUCACUGACUCUCUGCCUGGGUUUCUUCAUAUGCAUUAAUAAGAUGUUAAGAACUUGGACUAGAUGCCUUGCACAAUGCCAGCAGGCUCUAACAUUCUAGAACUCGAGGAUCCAAUAGUUACUGCUGGUAGAGAUAAGACACAGGGCAGGUGAUGACACUGCUGGAACUCUCAUGUGGUCUAGGCUAGUCGCUCAUUGUUCCCCACAUGCCAGACCUGUAGGUGAUGAAGGGUAUUAGAGGAGAGCCUGGCUACAGCGUGGGGUUGGCUCUAGGGCUGGGCCACCUGCUAACAGAUGACCUGGCUGCCAGUACUAACAGCAUGGUUGAGGGAUGGCAUGUGGUGUCACUCAAGCCCAGAGGUCAGUAGGACAGACAGAUCAGUUGCCCAAAUGUCCAGAAUGCAGGCCUUGCCAGUGUGCCACCCAUCUGCACAGCACCCAAGAAAUGCGAAACAAAACAAAACCAAAACUACUUUUUGGCUUUGUGCAUAACUGUCCGCAUCUGGAGGCCACCAAGAUGUCCUUCAUUAAACUAUAACAACUGUCCCACUCUUGUGGAGGAUGUCGAUGCUGGGGGAGGCUAUGCAUGCAUAGGAGCAGGAGGGUUCCAGUGUCACUAAGUUAAUGGCUUACUCAAUUAACCAGGCAGGUGUUGGCCAACUUGGAAGUCAAUCAGCGCAGAAGAUACACAAUAUCCUGCCUUGGGAAAAACCAUCAAAAUAGGAAACCCAGGAUAUAUGUCCUGUUAUGCCCAUAUUUCAAAUAAGAGUUAAUCAUCAGUAUCAAGAUCUCAGAUGCACUGUUAGUCAGUGAAUUCAGCAGUACGGAGGAGAGACCAGUGAUCAUUCUAAACUGAACAGCAGCCUCACGAUAAUAUUUAUAAGAAGAAACUACUCCAAUUUUCUCGUAUGAUCUUCUCCUCACACUGAGUGAAAAUACAAGUCAAAGUUACCCCAAAUGACACAGGGCACAGUCAGUGGAAACUAUGAUCAACCACAGAGACACAGCGUGAAGGCCUCUCUAGAAAUCCAAAGCAAAUCUACUCUAAGGACGAGAGUGCCAUCUCCCAUCUCUGCACCACAUCUGGAAGAGCCCUAGGAACAUGUCUGCAGUUCUCUCUUGUCCUGUAAACUAGUGUUAAUGCAAAGAGGUUGUGAAACAAAUCUAAAUUUGGACUAGAAGAAAUCAUGUCUACUGGACCACUAAGUUCUGGCAACUUAAGAAAGCCAUCUGUGACCUAUGCACCCAUCUACAGAUUCCUGACUUCCUAGAACACAGGACAAGCUCAGGGUGCAGCUACCAGCAACUCCUAAUCUCCUGCUUUAAUCAGAGAGUGACUCCUUACUUUAAACUCGGGCUAUCAACAGGUAUCUUUUGGAGAAGGUUGGGGCAGCUCUCCUUCAGUCCCUUCCUGGCUCUUAUGUCUGCUUUACAACCAAUCAGUGAUCGUGAACUACAAGAGGUGACCAGACCCACUUAGGUCCUGCUCGGAGCAGAAUUUCUCCAUAUUAGACAAAACUGUGCCUCUCUGCUUCUCUGCUCUUCCCUGUCCCAUCUUUCACUUGUAUGAAAGUUGUUCACCUGGUUCAGAGAUAAUGAGUGACAAUCAUUGUCCUAAGAUGUCUGAGGGCCUGAGGUUUUAUAUGAUGCUUUAAAUGAUACCAAUAAAACUGCU